rnacentral:rRNA from 1 species
AGUGAACGCUGGCGGUAGGCCUAACACAUGCAAGUCGAACGGCAGCACAGUAAGAGCUUGCUCUUACGGGUGGCGAGUGGCGGACGGGUGAGGAAUACAUCGGAAUCUACUUUUUCGUGGGGGAUAACGUAGGGAAACUUACGCUAAUACCGCAUACGACCUACGGGUGAAAGCAGGGGAUCUUCGGACCUUGCGCGAUUGAAUGAGCCGAUGUCGGAUUAGCUAGUUGGCGGGGUAAAGGCCCACCAAGGCGACGAUCCGUAGCUGGUCUGAGAGGAUGAUCAGCCACACUGGAACUGAGACACGGUACAGACUCCUACGGGAGGCAGCAGUGGGGAAUAUUGGACAAUGGGCGCAAGACUGAUCCAGCCAUACCGCGUGGGUGAAGAAGGCCUUCGGGUUGUAAAGCCCUUUUGUUGGGAAAGAAAAGCAGCAGGUUAAUACCCCGCUGUUCUGACGGUACCCAAAGAAUAAGCACCGGCUAACUUCGUG